rnacentral:rRNA from 1 species
ACGGCCAUACCACAUUGAAAACACCGGUUCACGUCCGAUCACCAAAGUUAAGCAAUGUCAGGCCGGUCAGUACUUGGGAGGGUGACCACCUGGGAACACCGGGUGAUGUAGGCU